GACGAACCGUCCAAACGUUAUUCGGUAUCACUGGGCUUAAAGCGUGCGUAGGCGGCCUGGUAGGUGAGGUGUGAAAGCCCACGGCUCAACCGUGGAAUUGCGCUUCAAACCACCAGGCUGGAGGAUGGCAGGGGUGAUGGGAACUGAUGGUGGAGCGGUGAAAUGCGUUGAUAUCAUCAGGAACACCGGUGGCGAAGGCGCAUCACUGGGCCAUUUCUGACGCUGAGGCACGAAAGCUAGGGUAGCGAACGGG
rnacentral:rRNA from 1 species